rnacentral:tRNA from 1 species
GCCUGGGUGGCUCAGUCGGUUGAGCAUCUGACUUCGGCUCAGGUCAUGAUCUCACAGUUCGUGAGUUUGAGCCCCUCAUUGGGCU